GAGGGGGCUAGGCUGGGUGGCUAGCCGUCACCUGUAACCGCAAAUCGGCUUUACGGCGGAGCCGAAGCUGGGAAGGCGGCAUGUUUCAGCAGUAUGAGAGCCCUCUAUCCCGACAAUGAAUUCCUGUCCCGCAGGGCGGUUCCUGCUGUGAACCGGGUCAGGCCCGGAAGGGAGCAGCCCUAAGCAGCAGGUGAUCGUGCUUGUGGGGUCACAGGAACAAGAAAGGAUAGAGCAAGCCUCUGCUGCUGGCAUGUCCACUUCUCAGCACGCCCCCUC
rnacentral:SRP_RNA from 1 species